ensembl:snoRNA
GCAUAUACCCAAAGAACUAUAAAUCAUUCUACUAUAAAGAUACAUGACAUAGUGUACCAUGCCAGAGUAAAUGGCAGCCUCGAACCAUUGCCCAGCCCCUUACCUGUGGGCUGUGAGCACUGAAGGGGGUUGUACAGUG